AUGGAAAACAAGGCCUCUCAGCCUACAGAAGAUGGUCAGGAAUCGAACUAUGCGACCGAGGUUGUAGCUGCAGUGCUUGCUAAGCACACUAGGAACCAAGGUUUCUUCAGCAUGUGUGGGGAUCCAACAUGUCCAUCUGAGAUCAAAGCGAUAGCAACUGUCAAGCAGAAUUGGCAAAGAGGGGUAUUGUCGAGCUUCAGGCGCUUGUUAACACCUUGA
rnacentral:rRNA from 1 species